GAUGAACGCUGGCGGCGUGCCUAAUACAUGCAAGUCGAGCGAACAGAUAAGGAGCUUGCUCCUUUGACGUUAGCGGCGGACGGGUGAGUAACACGUGGAUAACCUACCUAUAAGACUGGGAUAGCUUCGGGAAACCGGAGCUAAUACCGGAUAACAUAUUGAACCGCAUGGUUCAAUAGUGAAAGGCGGCUUUGCUGUCACUUAUAGAUGGAUCCGCGCCGUAUUAGCUAGUUGGUAAGGUAACGGCUUACCAAGGCAACGAUACGUAGCCGACCUGAGAGGGUGAUCGGCCACACUGGAACUGAGACACGGUCCAGACUCCUACGGGAGGCAGCAGUAGGGAAUCUUCCGCAAUGGGCGAAAGCCUGACGGAGCAACGCCGCGUGAGUGAUGAAGGUCUUCGGAUCGUAAAACUCUGUUAUCAGGGAAGAACAAAUGUGUAAGUAACUGUGCACAUCUUGACGGUACCUGAUCAGAAAGCCACGGCUAACUACGUG
rnacentral:rRNA from 1 species